AGAGUUUGAUCAUGGCUCAGGAUGAACGCUAGCGGCAGGCCUAAUACAUGCAAGUCGAACGCUCAGUAGCAAUACUGGGAGUGGCGCACGGGUGCGUAACGCGUACACAAUCUACCUCUAAGCGGGGGACACCUCCUGGAAACGGGGAUUAAUACCGCAUAAUAUGCCGAAGUCGCAUGACUUUGGUAUUAAAGCAGCAAUGCACCUAGAGAUGAGUGUGCGUCCCAUUAGGUAGUUGGUGAGGUAACGGCUCACCAAGCCUAUGAUGGGUAGCCGGUCUGAGAGGAUGGUCGGCCACACGGGCACUGAGACACGGGCCCGACUCCUACGGGAGGCAGCAGUAAGGAAUAUUGGUCAAUGGUGGAAACACUGAACCAGCCAUGCCGCGUGGAGGAAUAAGGUCCUACGGAUUGUAAACUCCUUUUGACGAGGAAGAAAAUGUUAGAUUUAUCUAAUUUUGACGGUACUCGUAGAAUAAGCACCGGCUAACUCCGUG
rnacentral:rRNA from 1 species